rnacentral:rRNA from 1 species
UACGGAGGGUGCGAGCGUUGUUCGGAAUCACUGGGCGUAAAGGGCGUGUAGGCGGUCCGCUAAGUCUGAUGUGAAAGCCCGGGGCUCACCCCCGGAAGGGCAUUGGAAACUGGCGGACUCGAGUCUCGGAGAGGAAGGUGGAAUUCCAGGUGUAGCGGUGAAAUGCGUAGAUAUCAGGAGGAAUACCGGUGGCGAAGGCGGCCUUCUGGACGAUGACUGACGCUGAGACGCGAAAGCGUGGGGAGCAAACAGG